AAUAAAUAUAGUUUUGCACUAUUCAUCUCCAACGUUUAACCGUUCGUUUUAUUUGAAAAAAAUAUGAUUACUAUUUUUAUUGCUAUUAGAUGAUAAAAUAUGAAUAGUACUUUAUGUGUGACUAAUUUUUUAAAAAAAAAUUAUAAAAUUUUUAAAUAAGACGGACAGUCAAACGUUGGACACGAAUUUUCACAACUGCAUUUAUU
rnacentral:pre_miRNA from 1 species